AGUAACUCGGCAAAUCAAUUUACACCUGUUUAUCAAAAACAUGUCUUUAAGUUUAGUUUUAAAGUCUAAUCUGCUCACUGAAUAUUUAAAGAGCCGCAGUAUUUUGACUGUGCAAAGGUAGCAUAAUCAAUAGUUUUUUAAUUGUAAACUGGAAUGAAAGAUUGGAUGAUAAAUUUACUUUCUUAAUUUUAAAUUUUGAACUUAAAAUUUAAGUUAAAAUUCUUAAAUUUAUUUAAAAGACGAGAAGACCCUAUAGAUUUUUAUUAUUAGUAAAAUUCAUUAAAUUUAUAUUUUAUAAAUAAUUUAAUUGGGGUGAUUUUGUAAUAUACAUAACUUAAUUUUAAAAAACCAUAAAUAAUUGAAUAUUUUGAUCUAAAACUUUUAAAUUAAAGAUUAAAUUACCUUAGGGAUAACAGCGUUAUAUUAUUUAAGAGUUCAUAUCUAUAAUAAUGUUUGCGACCUCGAUGUUGAAUUAAGAAAUAUGAUGGAGUAGAAAUUGUCAUUAGUUAGUCUGUUCGACUAUUAAAUUCUUACAUGAUUUGAGUUCAGACCGGCGUGAGCCAGGUCAGUUUCUAUCUUUAAAUAAUUUUUGUAGAUGGGUACGAAAGGACAAUUUAUUAUUAUUAUAUAUUUAUAAAUA
rnacentral:rRNA from 1 species